GACGAACGCUGGCGGCGUGCUUAACACAUGCAAGUCGAACGGAACCGUCCUGUUUUUGUGCGGAGCUCGAGUGGACAACGGGUGAGCAACACGUGAGUUAGCUGUCCUUGCCUUUGGGAUGACUUAAGGCAGCUGAGUCUAAUCGCGCAAAGGAGUUACUGCCGCUGGGUGGGGGUUGGUUAGUUUCGGCGGUUGGGGAUGGAAUCGCGGCCUAUCAGCUUGUUGGAGGGGUAGUGUCUUACCAAGGCUUUGACGGGUAGCCGGCCUGCGAGGGUCACCGGCCACAUUGGGACUGAGAUACGGCCCAGACUCCUACGGGAGGCAGCAGUGGGGAAUAUUGCACAAUGGGCGGAAGCCUGAUGCAGCAACGCCGCGUGCGGGAUGACGGCCUUCGGGUUGGAAACCGCUUUCGCCUGUGACGAAGCGUGAGUGACGGUAAUGGGUAAAGAAGCACCGGCUAACUACGUG
rnacentral:rRNA from 1 species